AUUCGGGGAGGGGGGUUGAUUUCGCUGAGUUUGUGGUGGGGAAGGGGGGAUUCCGGUGGUGGGGGAUGAGGAGAAGGGCUGCCGGAGGGUGGGGGAUGGGAAGGGGGCUGUCGGAAAAUAGGGAACGGUGGUGGUGGUGGGGAUGGGAUGGGCAGAUGGGCUGGCUAGUAUUUUUUUUGAUAAAACCCAUAUUAUCAGAUGGGUCGGAUAUUAGAUAUUUGGAUAUCCGAAAAUUUUAGAUCGGAUACGGAUAUCAAAUAGUAGUAUCUGAUUUUUCAAAUACGGAUAUCUGAUUUUGGUCAUUUCUCAUCGGCAAAUUCAUAAACUUGAUUACAAAUUGAUUCAAAAUUUCCCGCUAAUACAUUCAUACAUCAUCUCUCAUUCUCUGUUUCUCUCCCUCUCAAAUUCUCUCUCUCUCUUCUUUGAGUGCUGAUCAAUUCUCAACAGUGGAGCAAGCAAUUGUGACCUCUUCAUCGCCGCAAAUCAAUCCUAAUUCUCAACUUUCUUCUCUUCUUUACGGUAAUUUUCUCUCUCAUCUCUCUCUCACAACUCUCUGUUUCAAUUUUCAGUUUCAGCUUUUUCAUUUGCUCAACGAUUUACCAUAUCACAUUGAAUUUGUGGCUUAACUAAAUUUGUUUUGAUCGUUUAUUUUCGAGCAAGUUUGUCUUAAUUAUCGGUAAAUUAUCAAUUUCUUUCGGUGUGUGAUCGUUGAUUAUCCACUACUUUUUCAUAGAAAUUUUUCUGCAUCAUAGAUCGAGCUUAAUUUCUACGGUAUCUACUCAAUUUUCGCCCAUCUUUGAGUAUAUACUCUAACAUUUGUUUAAUUCAAGUGUUCUAAAUUGUUCAGAUUCAAUUAUUGUGGAAUUUAGCUGUUUUUUGUCCUAAAUUGUGAAUUAUAAUCUUCUUCAGCAUGUGUGUAACGGUGUCAAUAUCUUGUUGAAUACUGUUUACAUUUGAUUUUGUGCUAAUGCUUAGUUUCGCAGCUUCGAUUUGGAUAUAUUUGCUAUGUUGAUCAUAAAUGCACUAUGCUUAUUGUUUGAUCUCUGAAAUUGAACGGCAUAAAGAGAAUACUGUGGCUAAAUUUGACUAAUAAUUGUUCGCAUAUUGCUUCUCUCUCUUAAUUGAUCAUAAAUGCAUAUAUCAGUCAUCAGAUAUAUGUUUAUUGCAUGCUGUUUCAGUGAUCUUUUUUGAUCCGAUUGUCAAUUUGGCUGAAGUUCUGAAUUACUGAGUAGAUUUUGCAUAUGAUACAAUAUCAAAUUGAAUUUGUGGUUUAACUAAAAUUCAUAUGUAGCGUUUCAUUAGUAUGUAUUCAAUCUCAUUCUUGAGUAAGUGUGUAUUUUACCGAAGAAUUUUCAAUUUCUUUCGAUUUGCAAUCAUUGAUUAUCCAUUAUUUUUAUUCAUGUAAAUUUCUCUGCAUUAUUGAUCACUUCUGCUGUUUCUAGUCAAUUUUGGCUCAUUUUUGUGUCAAUUUUGGCUCAUUUUUGUGUAUUUUAUCUAAUUUUUCAGUAAAAUUAGUGUUCUGAUUUGUUCAGAUUCAAUUAUUGAGGAACUUAGCAGUUUUUUUUUUGUUGAAUUUUGCUUGAGUGUUACGCUAUCAAUGUUUUGCUGAUUGAAUACUGUAUACAUUUGAUUUUGCGCUAGUGAAAUAGUUUCUCAACCUUGAUUUGAUAUCUUUGAUUGCUUCGUUGAUCAUAAAUGCACUAUGCUUAUUGCUUGAUCUAUGAAAUUGAACGGCGUAAAGAGAAUACCGUGGCUAAAUUUGACUAAUAAUUGUUUGCUUGUUGCUUCUCUCUCUUCGUCGAUUAUAAAUGCAUAUAUCAGAUAUAUGUUUAUUGCUUGCUGUUUCAGUGAUCUUUUUUGUCUGAUGGCCAAUUUAGCUAAAAUUCUGAAUUACUGAGUAGAUUUUGCAGUUGAGUCACCAUUGUUGAUGGCUUGAUGUAUCAAUAAUUGAGUGUUAUAAGGUUUAGUGUAGCACCUCAUUAUCCAAUAGGAUGGAAGCUUAGAAAAAUGGAGAAGAGUAAAAUCAAAAGGAGUGAAAGGCAGAAGAGAGAAAGAGAAAGAAUUGGAAGGUUGAAGAAGUAAAUCUACCAAAAAAAUCGAUACAAAGAUGUAUAUUAAGCUAGGUGUUUGAAUCAAGCAAUAUAUUUCGACCUGUAAAAGGUUAUUAGGCUAGUUGAAGAAGUAAAUCGACCAAAAAAAAUCGAUCCUAAAGCACCUUUUUGUAACUAAUUAAUCUAGUUUGUUAUAGUUUGUUGUAUACUGUAUAUAUACUUAAGCAUUGUAAUAUUAUUACAUUACUCAUUCAUACAUUGUAUAAUCUGAAAAAAAAAAUUCUUUCAGAAAUAAGAAAUCUCUCCUGAUGUUCUUCUCUCUUCUCUGAGUUCUAUUAGUUUUUUCACUGUUUCAAUCAUGGCUGCUGAAUCUUCAAACACAAACUCAAAAGAAGUCAUAAACAUUAAAUUGAAUUCAAUACUCCAACUGAGGCAGUCAAUGGAAUCUCUUUGUUUUGCUAACUCAAAUGGCAUGGGGAGAUUGGACAUUACCGGGGAGAGUUUCGAGAUUACGGUUCGCAACGCAGAAACCAAUGUUGUUCUUCAUCUUUGCUUGAACCGUUCUGAGCUGAUCGAGUUCAAAUGCAGCAAACACAUUACUGGAAAGCUGAUUUUUGUGGCAGAGAUUGGACUGAUUAUGCAUUGUGCUAGUGAAGAUGAUACUUUCACCAUUCUUUAUCUUGAUGGGUCCGAUAAGCUAACAUUCAUACAGGGAAGUGAUCCUGAUAAUGAGUACAGUGUGAAGUUGUAUGAUAUGAAUGUGGAAAUUGAGAGAUUUCUUGCGAUCGCCUUCUGUGAGGCUGUUCUGACAUCUUCCUAUCUAAGAAAAAUGAUUCAGCAACUCAAAGAUGUGUGUAAGUUAUAAUGGAGAUAGAAGAGAAAGGUGUGGUUUUCUAUGUUGGAGGACAACCUGACAUUUUGGCGCAUGAUUUCGAAGGGGUAAUGGGGGGUGCUGGAACCAGAGGACUGGAACUUGGUCAGAAAGCUCAAGCUUGUUUAAUAAUGCAUCAUUUGGAAGUAUUGAAGAUAGCAUCAACAUUGGAAGAGCGUCCUAUGUUGUGUUUUCAUCUCCAACCAGACCAACUAGUCAGGAUGCGAUUUGGCCUUCAAGGACUCGGCUAUUUGGAGUUCGUCUACACCACAACAUGGGUUGUGAGGAACAUAAAACCUGAAAGGGUCAUUAGCUUUCAACUAAAGCCAGUACUCAAAGUGAGGUGGCCAUUAUCAUUUCUCGCUAAACAGAAAUUAAACCCCGAAUGCAUAGGAAGGCUGGACAUUACUGAGAAUGGAGGUUUCGAGAUCACGGUCCACAACACCCAAAGCAAAGGUUGUUGCUCACUUUCGAUUGAACUGUCGUGUGAUGAUAGACUUUGAAUGCACCAAACCCAUUAUUGGAAAGACAAUUGAUCUUUUCGAGGUUGAUCAAAUUCUGGGGAAGCGCUCCUGAAGAAAAUCUUCAAACCAUUUAUCAUCUUGACGGCUCUAAUGAGCUAUUCUGCAGAAACGGAAUGGAUCCUAAAAAGGAGUUUAAUUUCAAGCUGGGUGAAGAAAUUGAGAGCAUUCCUGGGAUCACAUUCCUUUGUGAUUGUGAGGGUGCUAUCAAACCUGAACAUCUUAGGGAAUUGGCGGAGUUUCAUCAUUAUUCUGACAUGCCAUCUCAGAAAGUUUCAGUGACAAUAGAUGAGAAAUAUGUGUGGCUUUCCCUUCCUGUAGAGAAUUUUAGUUGGCAUACGACCUAUAAACCUGAAGAGGUUGUUGAAAGCAGGAGAGUAGAAGCAGAUCAGAUGCAUGCCGCAGACUUUAUAAUGCAUCAUUCGAAAGUGUUGAUGAAGGCAGCACAUAUGGCAUCAAAGUUGGCACUAAGGCCUUUGGUGAGUGUUCUUUCAGAACCUCACCAACGUGUCAUGAUCCGAUUUUGCCUCGAAGAAGUUGAACUGGUGUUCUUCUUCGAGGCGACAUCGGUUGUCAAGAAAUCUUUGUUCUGAUAAGCAGUUUUACACGCUUAUGGAUAAGUUUAGCUAUAAGUAGUUUCUAAGUAACUAAUUGACUAUAUAGUGAAAUUCCUAGAAUGUGGAAAAUAGAGUGAAUGUACAAAGCACGACACACAAAGGUACUGUAAAUUUGGCUUGAUUAGAGAAUUAAACAAUGAUUUAGCUUAUCAAGUAUAUGAUAUGCUUGCUUUAUAUGCAUCUUUAGCUGUUAGUA